UUUAUGGAGAGUUUGAUCCUGGCUCAGGAUGAACGCUGGCGGCGUGCCUAAUACAUGCAAGUCGAGCGAACAGAUAAGGAGCUUGCUCCUUUGACGUUAGCGGCGGACGGGUGAGUAACACGUGGGUAACCUACCUAUAAGACUGGGAUAACUUCGGGAAACCGGAGCUAAUACCGGAUAACAUUUGGAACCGCAUGGUUCUAAAGUGAAAGAUGGUUUUGCUAUCACUUAUAGAUGGACCCGCGCCGUAUUAGCUAGUUGGUAAGGUAAUGGCUUACCAAGGCGACGAUACGUAGCCGACCUGAGAGGGUGAUCGGCCACACUGGAACUGAGACACGGUCCAGACUCCUACGGGAGGCAGCAGUAGGGAAUCUUCCGCAAUGGGCGAAAGCCUGACGGAGCAACGCCGCGUGAGUGAUGAAGGGUUUCGGCUCGUAAAACUCUGUUAUUAGGGA
rnacentral:rRNA from 1 species